GCUCCUUUAGCUCAGUUGGUUAGAGCGUCGUGCUAAUAACGCGAAGGUCAUAAGUUCGAUCCUUAUAAGGAGCA
rnacentral:tRNA from 1 species